rnacentral:rRNA from 1 species
UACGUAGGGGGCAAGCGUUAUCCGGAUUUACUGGGUGUAAAGGGAGCGUAGACGGUUAUGUAAGUCUGGAGUGAAAGCCCGGGGCCCAACCCCGGGACUGCUCUGGAAACUAUUGAACUUGAGUGCAGGAGAGGUAAGCGGAAUUCCUAGUGUAGCGGUGAAAUGCGUAGAUAUUAGGAGGAACACCGGUGGCGAAGGCGGCCUGCUGGACUGUGACUGACGUUGAGGCCCGAAGGCGUGGGGAGCAAACAGG